UACGUAGGGCGCAAGCGUUAUCCGGAAUUAUUGGGCGUAAAGAGCUCGUAGGCGGUUUGUCGCGUCUGCCGUGAAAGUCCGGGGCUCAACUCCGGAUCUGCGGUGGGUACGGGCAGACUAGAGUGAUGUAGGGGAGACUGGAAUUCCUGGUGUAGCGGUGAAAUGCGCAGAUAUCAGGAGGAACACCGAUGGCGAAAGGCAGGUCUCUGGGC
rnacentral:rRNA from 1 species